AUGAAGAUCCAUGUGGUCGAGACGCUAACGGGCAGGGCCAUGAACCUUGCGGUGACGAGCUCAGAUACAGUAAACAAUGUCAAGGCCAAGAUUCACGAGUGGCAUGGCUUUCCCAAGGACCAGCAGUGCCUCAUCUUCGCCAACAGACAGCUCGACGAUGAAGGCAGCACCCUGGCGGACCUCAACAUCUGCAACAACACCACCCUCCUCCUCGUCCUCCACAGCCGGUGCCUGAGAGGGAGGAUGACCAUCUACGUGAAGACGUUAAGAGACAAAUUCUAUAAUCUUGAGGUGGAAAGCGCAGAUACGAUAUAUAAUGUCAAGGAGAAGAUCUGGGCUAAGGAAGGCAUUCCACCGGACCUGCAGCGCCUCAUAUUUGACCGCAAGUUAAUGGAGGAUGACCGUACCUUGGCAACGUACAAUAUUCAGAUGUAUGAAGUUCUCUAUUUAGGGCUCAACCUACGUGGUUGA
rnacentral:rRNA from 1 species